GAUGAACGCUGGCGGCGUGCCUAAUACAUGCAAGUCGAGCGAACAGAUAAGGAGCUUGCUCCUUUGACGUUAGCGGCGGACGGGUGAGUAACACGUGGGUAACCUACCUAUAAGACUGGAAUAACUCCGGGAAACCGGGGCUUAUGCCGGAUAACAUUUAGAACCGCAUGGUUCUAAAGUGAAAGAUGGUUUUGCUAUCACUUAUAGAUGGACCCGCGCCGUAUUAGCUAGUUGGUAAGGUAACGGCUUACCAAGGCAACGAUACGUAGCCGACCUGAGAGGGUGAUCGGCCACACUGGAACUGAGACACGGUCCAGACUCCUACGGGAGGCAGCAGUAGGGAAUCUUCCGCAAUGGGCGAAAGCCUGACGGAGCAACGCCGCGUGAGUGAUGAAGGUCUUCGGAUCGUAAAACCCUGUUAUUAGGGAAGAACAAAUGUGUAAGUAACUGUGCACGUCUUGACGGUACCUAAUCAGAAAGCCACGGCUAACUACGUG
rnacentral:rRNA from 1 species